ensembl:lncRNA
CUGUCAUUUGAAUUAAUGGGAAACAUGAAAUAACAGCAAUACGGUUUGCUUCCUUAGCUGUUUUGCUGCUUUACUUGUGCACACUUCUAUUGCAUUUACAUAUUAAGAAAGGGGAACUUCAGUGGGAGGAAGAUAGUUUCCAAACAAAACGAGGAAAGAAGGAGAAAUGAGGAUUGUGUCACAAAUGGAGUCUAAAGCACUUCACUCACAAAAGGAAGGUAAAAAUGUACUUAGUGAUAUAAAAUAGGCAUCAUCACAUCCUGUGAUGAUGUUGAGUAACCUCAAGCAGUGACCCUACUCAAGGGGAGAUUCUAGUGUAUGGGCAGCUGCUUGCAAGGGCAACACUCAAAAUGGUUCUUAGGCUGCUUGCUAUUUGUGGGAUACAAUGAUUGACUCAUAGUCAUACAAUGUUUGCACCUCACUAUAUGCACUAGGCUUUUAGUGUAAGACCAGGCUGGGUGGGGGGAAGAGUGCACCAGCACAGAGGGUUAAGGGCUUAUGAAUAUAGAGAAAGAAAGGGAAAAUGCUAGCAUUGUGUCAUGGUGACUGCAUGUAUGAAGCAAUGCUUAUCAGAGCUGUAUUUAAGCAGUUUGAGAUGACUGUGUACAGUGUUUCUCCACAUACAAUCACAGAACUGUUCUCAGCUGAACUCUGAAGCACAGGGUGUUCACUCCUGCAUCCCAUCUAGACUUGGUCUGGGACUUAAGGCUCAUUCCCAGUGUGCCCACAGUAGCUUUCUCCCUAGAGUUUAAUACUGAACGUGGAUGACUGGUCCUACCAGAGCUGGGUUGUGGAGGAAGAUUCCAGCUAGCUAAAAUUCCACUUGCAGAAGAAUGCAACAAAUUCUCUUCUACUGACUAAGUAUUAUUUUCAUAGAAUUUAGUUUUGGAGCACAUUCUGAAGUACAUAACUAAGUAGCAUAUUUAUUAUUCAUAAAAAUGGACUUACCAUUUCUGCAUUUAUAGAAAAUAGGCAAAGAUACUUAUGUACUGCAGUUGUUUAAGAAGAUUGUAAUUGUUACUGAUAUUUCUUUUAACUUCUCACCACCUCAAGUCUGUUGACUGUAUCCAGGACCACCAUCUGACAGGAUUCUACUUUUGUACAUGUUUACUUUGUUGGUGAUCUAGUCUUCUAUGCAUAUCUAUGUAUUUGUAUAUGUUUACUUUGUUGGUGAUCUAGUCUUCUAUGUAUAUCUAUGCCAUUAAUUUAAGCAACAAUUUUGUUCUCAAGAGCUGCUGAAUGUAGUCUGGCUUGAGAAAGGAUUACAUAUAAAGAUCAAGUGUGUUCUCUACAUGCUGUCAAAUAGCAUUUGCCUCAUCCCAAAUUCUGUUAUUUACUUCCAGAACUGGAAGAGGGUAGAUUUAGACUACAUAUUAGGAAGAAAUUCUUUACUGUGAGGGUGAUGAGACACUGGAACAGGUUUCCCAGAGAAGCCGUUGAUGCUGCACCCUGGAAGCAUUCAAGGCCAGGUUGGAUGGGGCUUUGAGCAACCUGGUCUAGUGGGAGGUGUUCCUGCCUAUAGGAGGGGGGUUGGAACUACAUGAUCUUAAAGGUCUCUUCCAACCUAAACUAUUCUAUGAUUCUAUGAUUCUUUGAUUUUGUUGAUGAGAUAUAGACCAUAUUCUUGAAAAUUUAUUUUAAAUUUGUGAUUCUGUAAUUAUGUAAUUUGUCUCCAUUUGUUAAGUUUCCUCACAGACACACUAUGUCCUGUAGAAAUAAUAAUCUGUAAAUAGAGGUUGCCACAUCAAGUACAGAAAAUGUCAUAAUUGCAUGGAUUACUUCACUGUUGAUGUGAAACAAUAUUUUUAAAGUAGGCUUUUAAUACUUUUCUUUUUCUGAUAAAAAGAAAAAGAAGUAUAGAAGAAAACCAGACAUAUCAGGAAAACUGAUUCAAUGGAAGCCCUAGAGUAUCUGUCUGAAGACAGGCAUGGAAUUAGAAUCAUGGAAAGGUCCUCAUGCCUUUAACAGCCAAUUGAGCAAGACAACAAUCUAUCAUGAACCUGCAUCUCUGGUAUAACUUUUGAUGAAAACAUUGCUGUUUAAGCUGUUUAUCUUUUAUUUUGGGGGAAAUUAAUCUAUUUUCAUUUUUAUUCAGAAAAAAACCUACACAUUUGGAUUUACUCCUGUAGCAGUACAUGCAAAAUGCAAUCCAGAUACUUACUGUUACUGUCUUGAUAAUACAGAAUCCCAAGCUUGAUUUUUUAUCUGUUCAGAGGUGGGACCAUCCAAAAUAUAUAGCCAUCCAAAACAUACAUUUCUGAGGAUUAUUCUAGCCCUGGUAGUAAGAGCCAGGGUGAAAACUUUGCCAACAUAACUCACCACAGUCAGAACCACAAUCUACUCUUUUUUAGCAGUGUAGGGGAAGAGAGAUAUCUCUGCUUCUUGUUAUAAAUUAACCUUUAUCAUACUUUAAUUUUCCUGGCAUGCCUGCCUCCAACAUAACACACAAGAUGGAUAGUAAAGAGUGUGCUUUGCAGCCCUAGCAUGAAAGUAAAGAGCUCUUGGUAUUUAUUACCUCUUGCACUGCAGUAGCCGGGAAAAGACAACAUCUGCUUCUAAGCUCUCAUUAACUGCAUUUUCACUUGUGCUCUGUAUUUUUGUAUAUAGAGAAAUGAUAGGUGGCCUGUAAUUGCAACCUGCUCAGAGCAAGUAAGUCAAAUGGUAAGGUCAAAACCUUCAUUUUUUCUGUUUCUGCAGACAUCCUCAUAAUAAACAGCAGAGAGCAUUCUCAAUGCUUUGUCAGUUUUCUUGUUGCCUGUCAUUCAGGAGCCCACCGACUGCUGCAGCAGUGCAGUCUCAGAAGCUGAUGCAUACUCAUAGGAAAAAAGCAGCAAACUAAAGCACUGCACAACUCAUUUGUUACUUGCUGCUUGCUAGAGGAAUACAAUGAUGACUGAUGUAAAAAGCCCUGAUAUUCUGCACAUUUCUUAUUUAUUCUUUUAUGUAAACACAGGUCUCCUCUCCUGGUGAUACCAGCAUUCAAAGGGUGAGAACAAACACAAGACAAAUGAAAUCCAAAUAGUUGCUGUCUGUGGUGGUGUACCUUUACCCCUUACUCAGUCUAGCUUUUUAAUCACUCACAGUGGCAGAGUAUUAAAUACAAGUGCUUACUGAAGUUAAAAAAAAACAAGUGUUGCACUCUUGAUUUUUCAAACUCAGACAAGGGAUCCAAUUGCUGUCAGCACACAGUAUCUCUGUAACAAUAGAAAAGAAAGUGAUGAACAAUAUAGGAACAGGAUGAAAGUGGCUUAGAAAACAAGGAGUCUUGAUCUAAAAUAGCCUCAUGACAUUAGAGCUAUUUUUCCUGGUAUUUGUUUUUCCCAGCUAAGGCCUAGGUGCAUUUCAGGAAUCCAGGGUUGAACAAGUGAUGCGUUUUAUAAGGGCAGUUCAUCUGAUCUUGAUUCCAUGUUACAUUCACAGCACCGUUUCAGGAAGCCAUAGCAAAAGGAGACUGAGGAAGCUUCAGGUUUCCAUUCUGCCUUCUGUUACCAUUUCUCAUUCACCAUUUUGGCUUUGUAGACUUGAUUGUUUCCUCUCUUCAUCGCUCUUCCCAUCAUAAAUCUGUAGCAGGAGGCUCUCUAGAGGUAGAAAAGACGUCUUUGACUACAGUGAUGGUGACAUAAACUAGUUUGUUAAUGGAAACCUGUUGUCAGUUCUGAGCAAUAGCCUAUACUGAGUAGCAGAAGAGGGUGCCACCUGAAAGAAGAAAAUACUCAGUUUAUUGAAAAAUGGCUGUUUUCUCUGACUACCUUCAGUACAUUAUUGUUCUUUCAUAUGCCUGUUUUGCAGUGAUCAUACGUAAGAUAUUGCUUAUCAACUGUCUCUUCUGCACAGUUUGCAAUGUUUAAUAUAAUAAGCUUUUGCCUAGCGAAAUUGAUCCAUGGUUGAGUAUGCACUUUACUGCUAAACACUUAUUUACAAUAAAACUCAGGGGAAAAAUAGUGCAAAACAAACAAACAAACAAAAACCUCAAACGUGACAGGCAAACAAAAUGAUGAAGACAGACACAUAUUAAAUUGCACGGUGUCAUUCUAUUUCACGUUAUACCUUUUUUCUACUGUUGAGGAAGAAUGAAAUUUUAGGUAAGAGUCCUAUGAAGCUCUACUUAUUAGAAUUUCCUAAUUCUCAAAUUACAGGAAAGUACUCAAAGUGUUUUAUUGUGACCUCCUCAGACUUUAGAAUAAAAGAUUGCUUAAAUCUGUUAUUUCUCUUUCUGUAAGGCAAGUGUGCUUCCAGUUGGAACAAGAGAUGGAACAGAAGAGCAGUGUCUGAGGCAGUCAGCCCAAAUAAAAAGAUGAACUGAACUAUGGAAAAAUUCCACACCACAACCUUAGUCCAGCCACCUAGGUAUACAAAUCUGAAUAAGAAGUGUGACUCCAGCUGCCCUGAGCUUUGCUGCUUUGAUUUCUUCAUCACUGAAUCUGACCCUGAGCCUGAAUUACUUCAACAAGAGUCCCAAAGGGAACAUUCAUACGGGAUUGAUCUUGUCAUUUCAGUCUUCUUGCUCUUUAUUGAAAGAAAGGAUAAAAAGCCCCUUGCAUCCACACUCUUGCAAGAGAACAUCUUUCUGAAAAGGACCACAGAACACUGGCAACUGCUGAGAGAAAGCAUUAGUAGAAAGAAACAGAGUGAUUGUAAGAGGAACAGAGAAAAUAAUCUACUUACUAACGUACACAGGAUGAACUACGGAAAGUUCAUGCAAGGAAGAAAAAAGUAAAAAACAAACAUGAAGAGCUAUACUUGCUUGUUUUUUGGUGAGAAAAAGGACAAAUGGAGAGGUGGUCUGUAAAAACAUAAUAAAUAGCAACUGCAGUUUCCCCAGUGUUUUUUUAUUUUGUCUGGAAUUACUUACAUGAGAUGAUCAUCAACGUUAUUUGUUGAGGAAGCAUCUUCCAGUGUCCUGGUGGAUGAAAAGAUGAACAUGAGCCAGCAUUAUGAUCUUGCCGCCCUGAAGGUCGACUGUAUCCUUGUCUGCAUCAGAAGAGGGGUGGCCAGCAGGGAAACAAAGUGGACAGGAAGGAGGAAGGAAAUGCCAGAGCAAAGAAGGAGCAAGAAUUAUAGUGUUUGUGUGGAGGCAAAAUCUUAGUUCUGUUUUCAAACUGGUCAUCAAACAUCUAUAUGACUUCUUAAAUGAAAACACAUUAUAGGGUAGCAACAGCUACUAAUGUCCAGACUAACACCUGAGAAUGCUAGAUUCUUGUCUGCUCUGGGUUCCACAAUGUUGGCUGUUAAAAAGGAUGUUAACAUCCUUGAACGCAUCCAGAGGAAGGCA